ensembl:lncRNA
GGGGGGCGGGUCCACAUUCCAGCCCCCGGAUUCUCCAUGAAAUCCCAGAGUUCGGGCCCCCAGACCCUUUCUCCCCCUAACCCAGGUGUCCCCACCUCCUCCUCUUUGGCCCCAGCUGGAGUCCAGCCCUCUGGGGGUUAAGGGGGCGGGGCCACUGGUUGCCAUGGUGCCAGACUGUUUGGGUCUGCUCUCUGACCCUUGGGGGCUCCCCAGGGUCUGCGGGGAGGGGGAGGGGGGCCCAGACCUGGGCGAAGUCCUGCGCCAACCCUUUCCCCGGGUCGGGCCUGCGGGCCCGGGGAGUCCGCGUUUCCGCCGAGGCCCGGUGCAGUGACCUCGGUCGGGUCCUGACCCCCGCCCCCUGCCCUCCGCUCUCUGCGGGCCUCAGUUUCCCUAGGAGAGACGUGCCGGAGCCGCAGGGCGAUGCUGCGGCCCCGCGAACCCAGAGGACGCUCGGCUUCCCUCGGCUCGCACCCCCUCCCCAGGCCCCCGGCAGCCCCGGGGCAUGCUGGGAGCCCGGGCCUGGGCUCCGGGCCAGGUUGGGGGGGUCGGGGGGGCGGGGGCCGCCUCCUCCCUUCCCCUUCCUCCCCACCUUGGCCCGGCUCGCGCCCCUGCCGGAGGGUCGGGGAGGCCGGGAAGGAGGGAAGCGGGAUGCGAGCGGGGUCCGCGGACCCGUCCCUGGGCUCCCCCCUCCGCCCUUCCCCCCGGCCUCCCCCGCCCCUCCGCGCCUCCCCGCCUCCCCAGCAGGUCGCUACCCCGGCCCUGGGCCCCUGCGCGAACCACCCCCACCCCACCCCCAGCUCCAGACCUGGCUCCGAGCUGCGGCGAGGGGGAGGGAGAGAAGGAAGGAGAAGGGGGGGUGGAGGGAGGCGAGAGACCCGGGAGGGAGAGAAGGAGAAAGAGAGAGAGAGAGGCAAGGAGGGAGACGGAGGGGGAGAAGGAGGCCGGGAGAUGGAGAGACGAGGGAGGGAGGCAGGCAGGGGGAAGAGGGUUGUGGGGGGGGUGGGGAGGAGAGUGAGACGGGGAAAUCGAGGGAGAGAAGGGAGGAAAGGGACAAAGACGGAGGGAGGGGGGCGGAGCAGGGGAGGGGGCAAGGCCGGAGGGAAAGGGAAAGAAGCAGAAAGGAGGAGAGGAGAGAGAGCAAGGCGGGGGAGGGCGGAGAGACACGGCCUGAGAAAGGCCCCUGCGAGCCGGGGACGGCCGCGCGCGGGGGGAGGCGCGGAUGGGCAGCGCAGAGCCGGGGAGGAGCACACGGAGGCUGCAGGAGAUGGGGACCAGGUGAGGCCGAGGGCGAGCAGGCCGGACCGGGAGAGAGGACCGGGAAGAUGGAGCUGGAGCGGGAGACGGCGGGAGCGAGACCGCUGGAGCCCUGGAUCGAGGCGGAGGUUCUCAGGUGCACAGACUCAGCCCCGGGCUGGGGAGGGCGGGUGCUGGGCCCUCUUGCCUGGAAGGCCUGGCCCCUCCCACUCCUGCCCCCGCCACCCUCCCCACCCCAGCCUACGGCUGGCUGGGGCUCAGCCUUACCACCUGCGAAAUGGGGGUGCCGAUGGCACCUCGCGCUCAGCCGGAGAGAUGACACAGGCCUGGGGCGGCAUCCACGGAUGUCAGUGUGGUACUUGA